rnacentral:lncRNA from 10 species
AUGAGCAGCACCCUAGCUAAGAUCGCGGAGACAGAAGAGGAGAUGGCUUGGACUCAACAAGGCCACAGCACACCACCUGGGGCUGCUUAAGGCUCGUCUUGCUAAGCUUCGUCGAGAACUCACUACUCCAAAGGGUGGUGGUGGUGGUGGAGGUGCAGAAGAAGGUUUUGAUGUGGCCGAGACAGGUGAUGCUUGAAUUGGAUUUGUUGGUUUUCCAUUUGUGGGGAAGUCGACACUGCUUAGUAACCUGGCAGGGGUAUAUUCUGAGGUGGCAGCCUAUGAAUUCACUACUCUGAGCACUGUGCCUGGUGUCAUCAGAUACAAAGGUGCCAAAAUCCAGCUCCUGGAUCUCCCAGGUAUUAUUGAAGGUGCCAGGGAUGGGAAAGGUAGAGGUCGUCGAUCAUUGCAGUGGCCCGAACCUGUAACUUGAUCCUGAUUGUUCUGGAUGUCCUGAAACCUUUGGGACAUAAGAAGAUAAUUGAAAAUGAGCUGGAAGUCUUUGGCAUUCACUUGAACAGCAACCACCGCCCCCCAACAAUGGCUUUAAGAAGAAGGACAAGGGAGGCAUUCAUCUCACAGCCACUUGCCCACAGAGUGAGCUGGAUGCUGAAACUGUGAAGAGCAUUCUGGCUGAAUACAAGAUUCAUAAUGCCGAUGUGACUCUACGUAGUGAUGCUACAGCUGAUGACCUCAUUGAUGUGGUGGAAGGAAACAGAGUUUAUAUCCCCUGUAUCUAUGUUAAAUAAGAUUGACCAAAUGUUAUGUUAAAUAAGAUUGACCAAAUGUUAUCUUAUGUUAAAUAAGAUUGACCAAAUCUCCAUUGAGGAAUUGGAUAGCACUAUAAGGUGCCUCACGGUGUACCCAUCUCUGCCCAUCACCACUGGAAUUUUGAUGACCUAUUGGAAAAGAUCUGGGACUAUCUGAAACUAGUGAGAAUUUGCACCAAACCCAAAGGCAAUUACCAGGUUACACAUCCUCAGUGGUACUUCCUUACUCCAGGACCACAGUGGAGAUUUCUGCAUGAAGAUUCACAAAAAUCUUAUCAAAGAAUUUAAAUAUGCUCUGGUCUGGGGUCUCUCUGUGAAACACAAUCCUCAAAAAGUGGGUAAAGACCAUACGUUGGAGGACAAGGAUGUCAUUCAAAUUGUGAAGAAG